rnacentral:tRNA from 1 species
GCGCACGUGGUGAAACUGGUAGACACGCCAUCUUGAGGGGGUGGUGCCUUACGGGUGUGGGGGUUCGAAUCCCCCCGCGCGCA